rnacentral:rRNA from 1 species
UACGAAGGGGGCUAGCGUUGCUCGGAAUUACUGGGCGUAAAGGGCGCGUAGGCGGAUGUUUAAGUCAGCGGUGAAAGCCCAGGGCUCAACCUUGGAACUGCCAUUGAUACUGGACAUCUUGAGUACGGGAGAGGUGAGUGGAACUCCGAGUGUAGAGGUGAAAUUCGUAGAUAUUCGGAAGAACACCAGUGGCGAAGGCGACUCACUGGCCCGUUACUGACGCUGAGGUGCGAAAGCGUGGGGAGCGAACGGG